AUUCCUACGGGAGGCAGCAGUAAGGAAUCUUCCACAAUGGGGGCAACCCUGAUGGAGCAACGCCGCGUGAAGGAUGAAGGCCUUAGGGUCGUAAACUUCUUUUGUUAGCGAAGAAUAUGACGGUAACUAACGAAUAAGGGCCGGCUAACUACGUGCCAGCAGCCGCGGUCAUACGUAGGGCCCGAGCGUUAUCCGGAGUGACUGGGCGUAAAGAGUUGCGUAGGCGGCUUAAUAAGUGGAUAGUGAAACCUGGUGGCUCAACCAUACAGACUAUUAUCCAAACUGUUAAGCUCGAGAAUGGUAGAGGUGAUUGGAAUUUCUAGUGUAGGAGUGAAAUCCGUAGAUAUUAGAAGGAACACCAAUGGCGUAGGCAGAUCACUGGACCAUUUCUGACGCUAAGGCACGAAAGCGUGGGGAGCGAACCGGAUUAGAUACCCGGGUAGUCCACGCCGUAAACGAUGGAUGCUAGCUGUGGGGGGUAUCGACCCCCUCCGUAGCGAAGCUAACGCGUUAAGCAUCCCGCCUGUGGAGUACGGCCGCAAGGCUAAAACAUAAAGGAAUUGACGGGGACCCGCACAAGCGGUGGAGCGAGUUCUUUAAUUCGAUGAUAAACGAAGAACCUUACCAGGGCUUGACAUCCCGAGAAUUUUGUCGAAAGACGAGAGUGCUUUAUUGAACUCGGUGACAGAUCUUGCAUGGCCGUCGUCAGCUCGUGUCGUGAGAUGUUUGGUUAAGUCCAUCAACGAGCGCAACCCUUGUGAUUAGUUGAAUUUUUCUAAUCAUACUGCCCCGGUAACGGGGAGGAAGGAGGGGAUGAUGUCAGGUCAGUAUUCGUCUUACGUCCUGGGCUAGAAACGCGCUACAAUGGCCAGUACAACGGGCAGCCAACCCGCAAGGGGGAGCAAAUCCCAUCAAAACUGGUCCCAGUUCGGAUAAGAGGCUGAAACUCGCCUCUUUGAAGUCGGAAUCGCUAGUAAUCGCAGAUCAGCAUGUUGCGGUGAAUACGUUCCCGGGCCUUGUACACACCGCC
rnacentral:rRNA from 1 species